rnacentral:rRNA from 1 species
UACAGAGGUCCCGAGCGUUGUUCGGAUUCACUGGGCGUAAAGGGCGCGUAGGCGGCAACUCAAGUCAGUUGUGAAAUCUCCGAGCUUAACUCGGAACGGUCAACUGAUACUGUUUUGCUAGAGUACAGAAGGGGCAAUCGGAAUUCUUGGUGUAGCGGUGAAAUGCGUAGAUAUCAAGAGGAACACCUGAGGUGAAGACGGGUUGCUGGGCUGAUACUGACGCUGAGGCGCGAAAGCUAGGGUAGCAAACGGG